UUUUUUUUUUAAAAAGGCAUAGGAAAAUGAAGAAGGUGGGCGGCUGCACUAUUGAAGUGGUGGGGAGGGGCUUCUAGUGGUGUGGACGGCUGGUGAGUGGUGGGUCUCUCCACUUUGACUCCAGCCACCAGAAACAUUAUUAUUCCACUAUGAAGUGCUCCAACAUUCAUAAGACCACCUUCAUCAUCUUCUUAAGUAGGCAUGACACCGAGGAAGCAAGGGAGAUGGCUAAGGUUCAUCCGGCAACACACAAAAGGAGAUUCACUUCUUCAUUUUAGAGAUUCUUGAAGGAGGAAAGAAGAAGAAGGGAGGGAGAGCUGGACACUGUGGCAGGGGACUGGAACGGCAGAGGAGGAACACAGUGCAGAGAUUGAUUCAAGGUUUGCAAUGAAGUCUUCAAGAGAUGUUGUCGCGGAAAUUUCCUUGGAGCAAGAGUUGGAGGUUACAGAUGUUGCGGAGUAGUCUUCUUAUGAAUUUCCUGAUUGAACACUUGUAGUGUUUAAUCCUUUCAACUGUUCAAGUUUAAAUUUUCAGUUUUUUUUACUUUUGGAUGACUGUAAUUUCGCACUUAAAUUACAAGUCAGGCUCCGACUGUUCUCUAUAUUUGAAUGUUGA
rnacentral:sRNA from 1 species